ensembl:snoRNA
AUUCUUUUGUGGUUCAUGAGCAUGAUUGGGUUUUCAUGCCUUUGUGUGAGAUGUGCCGGUCUCAAACCUUACUACACUGCUGACAGGCACAUUAUCCAUCUGACU